GCUAACGUAGCUCAGUCGGUAGAGCAGCUGAUUCGUAAUCAGCAGGUCACAGGUUCGAUUCCUGCCGUUAGCUCCA
rnacentral:tRNA from 1 species